UAGGAAGGGGGCUAGCGUUAUCCGGAAUUACUGGGCGUAAAGGGUGCGUAGGCGGCCCAACAAGUCAGAGGUGAAAGGCUACGGCUCAACCGUAGUAAGCCUUUGAAACUGUAGGGCUUGAGUGCAGGAGAGGAGAGUGGAAUUCCCGGUGUAGCGGUGAAAUGCGUAGAUAUUGGGAGGAACACCAGUUGCGAAGGCGACUCUCUGGACUGUAACUGACGCUGAGGCACGAAAGCGUGGGGAGCUAACAGG
rnacentral:rRNA from 1 species